rnacentral:rRNA from 1 species
UACAGAGGUGGCAAGCGUUGUUCGGAAUUACUGGGCGUAAAGGGCGCGUAGGCGGUCUUGUCAGUCCCUUGUGAAAUCCCCCGGCUCAACUGGGGAACUGCAAGGGAAACAGCAGGGCUUGAGUUCGGGAGAGGGAAGCGGAAUUCCGGGUGUAGCGGUGAAAUGCGUAGAUAUCAGGAGGAACACCGGUGGCGAAGGCGGUUCUCUGGGAAUGUCCUGACGCUGAGGAGCGAAAGUGUGGGGAGCGAACAGG